UACGAAGGGGGCGAGCGUUGUUCGGAAUUACUGGGCGUAAAGGGCGCGUAGGCGGCCGAUCAAGUCAGAUGUGAAAGUCCUGGGCUUAACCUGGGGACUGCAUUCGGGACUGCAUUGCUAGAGUAUGGGAGAGGGAAGUGGAAUUUCAGGUGUAGCGGUGAAAUGCGUAGAUAUCUGAAGGAACAUCAGUGGCGAAAGCGACUUCCUGGACCAAUACUGACGCUCAUGUGCGAAAGCGUGGGGAGCAAACAGG
rnacentral:rRNA from 1 species